rnacentral:rRNA from 1 species
GACGAACCGUGCGAACGUUGUUCGGAAUCACUGGGCUUAAAGGGCGCGUAGGCGGCAGUUCAAGUCCGGGGUGAAAUCCUCCAGCUCAACUGGAGAAGUGCCUUGGAUACUGGAUUGCUCGAGGGAGGUAGGGGCCGAGGGAACUUCUGGUGGAGCGGUGAAAUGCGUUGAUAUCAGAAGGAACGCCGGUGGCGAAAGCGCUCGACUGGACCUCUUCGUGACGCUGAGGCGCGAAAGCUAGGGGAGCAACGGG